rfam:Glossina austeni unplaced genomic scaffold Scaffold74, whole genome shotgun sequence.
AUAUAUGCACAUGUAUAAAUAUAUAUUUAUAUAUGUAAAAUUUACGAGCCCCGAAAAUAAGCGUGUAAGAGAGAUUGGUAACUCUUUCUUGAAUCAAUGGAUGGUAGUGCAUGACGCUUCUUAAUUCGUUGGAGCGAUUUGUCUGAUUAAUUUCGAUAACGAACGAGACCCAAAUAUAUUCAAUAGAUGCUUUCAAGAGCAUCUGAAUUGAAUCUUUUAUGGCCUUAACUUACGAGCGAAGUAAAAUGUGUGAGGUUGAUUUGGGCAAAUUGCAUCUAGCAAUAACGACAUUGAGCAAUAACAGCUCUGUGAUGCCAUUAGAUGUCCUGGACUGCACGUGCGCUACAACGAAAGUCCCAUCGUGUAUUUCCUAGACCGAGUGGCCCGCUUAAAAACCUGAGCCACUUUCGUGCUUGGGAUUGUGAACUGAAGUUGUUUACAUGAAUUUGGAAUUUCCAGCAAGCAUUAGUCUUCAACUCCCAUUGGUUAC